GUGGAACAGGGCGCCAGAGAGGGUGAGAGCCCCGUCUAGGGCCCCGGGUCUCAGUGUAGCUCCUUCGACGAGUCGAGUUGUUUGGGAAUGCAGCUCUAAAUGGGUGGUAAAUCUCAUCUAAAGCUAAAUACCAGCCAGAGACCGAUAGCGCACAAGUAGAGUGAUCGAAAGAUGAAAAGCACUUUGAAAAGAGAGUCAAACAGCACGUGAAAUUGUUGAAAGGGAAGCGCUUGCAACCAGACUCGCCCGCAGCUGAUGGGCAGUGCUCUCUCGUCUGCGGCCAGGCCAGCAUCAGCACUGGGGGCAGCAGAGGGGCCUUGGGAAUGUGGCUCUCUCCGGGGAGCGUUAUAGCCCGCUGUGCACUGCUGCCACCCAGCGCUGAGGAACAUGCUUCUGUAUGGAUGCUGGCAUAAUGGUUGCCAGCGACCCGUCUUGAAACACGGACCAAGGAGUCUAACAUCUACGCGAGUGUUUGGGUGUCAAGCCCGGACGCGCAAUGAAGGUAACUGGGGGAGCCCUUCCAUCUCAGCCGAUCCUGACGUUUUCUGACGGAUUUGAGCGCGAGCGUAGCUGUUGGGACCCGAAAGAUGGUGAACUAUGCCUGAAUAGGGUGAAGCCAGAGGAAACUCUGGUGGAGGCUCGCAGCGGUUCUGACGUGCAAAUCGAUCGUCAAAUUUGGGUAUAGGGGCGAAAGACUAAUCGAACCUUCUAGUAGCCGGUUCCUGCCGAAGUUUCCCUCAGGA
rnacentral:rRNA from 1 species